rnacentral:rRNA from 1 species
AACGAACGCUGGCGGCAGGCUUAACACAUGCAAGUCGAGCGCCCCGCAAGGGGAGCGGCAGACGGGUGAGUAACGCGUGGGAACGUACCUUUUGGUUCGGAACAACUCCGGGAAACUGUAGCUAAUACCGGAUAAGCCCUAACGGGGAAAGAUUUAUCGCCGAAAGAUCGGCCCGCGUCUGAUUAGCUAGUUGGUGAGGUAACGGCUCACCAAGGCGACGAUCAGUAGCUGGUCUGAGAGGAUGAUCAGCCACACUGGGACUGAGACACGGCCCAGACUCCUACGGGAGGCAGCAGUGGGGAAUAUUGGACAAUGGGCGCAAGCCUGAUCCAGCCAUGCCGCGUGAGUGAUGAAGGCCUUAGGGUUGUAAAGCUCUUUUGUCCGGGAAGAUAAUGACUGUACCGGAAGAAUAAGCCCCGGCUAACUUCGUG